rnacentral:tRNA from 1 species
GAGAAUUUAGCUUAAUUAAAGUGUUCUAUUUGCAUUCAAUUGAUGCAAGAUAAAAUCUUGUAGUUCUUA